rnacentral:rRNA from 1 species
GAGUUUGAUCGUGGCUCAGGACGAACGCUGGCUGCGUGCUUAACACAUGCAAGUCGAACGCUGAAGCCUGGUGCUUGCACCGGGUGGAUGAGUGGCGAACGGGUGAGUAACACGUGAGUAACCUGCCCCUGACUUCGGGAUAAGCCCGGGAAACUGGGUCUAAUACCGGAUACGACUGCCGGACGCAUGUCUGGUGGUGGAAAGUUUUUUCGGUUGGGGAUGGGCUCGCGGCCUAUCAGUUUGUUGGUGAGGUAAUGGCUCACCAAGACGACGACGGGUAGCCGGCCUGAGAGGGCGACCGGCCACACUGGGACUGAGACACGGCCCAGACUCCUACGGGAGGCAGCAGUGGGGAAUAUUGCACAAUGGGGGAAACCCGUGAUGCAGCGAAACGCAGCGUGCGGGAUGACGGCCUCGG